GACGAACGCUGGCGGCGUGCUUAACACAUGCAAGUCGAACGGAAAGGCCCAGCUUGCUGGGUACUCGAGUGGCGAACGGGUGAGUAACACGUGGGUGAUCUGCCCUGGACUCUGGGAUAAGCCUGGGGAACUGGGUCUAAUACCGGGUAUAAACUUACAUCGCAUGGUGUUUGGUGGAAAGCUUUUGCGGUUCAGGAUGGGCCCGCGGCCUAUCAGCUUGUUGGUGGGGUAAUGGCCUACCAAGGCGACGACGGGUAGCCGACCUGAGAGGGUGAUCGGCCACACUGGGACUGAGACACGGCCCAGACUCCUACGGGAGGCAGCAGUGGGGAAUAUUGCACAAUGGGCGCAAGCCUGAUGCAGCGACGCCGCGUGAGGGAUGACGGCCUUCGGGUUGUAAACCUCUUUCACCAGGGACGAAGCGUGAGUGACGGUACCUGGAGAAGAAGCACCGGCCAACUACGUG
rnacentral:rRNA from 1 species